rnacentral:tRNA from 1 species
GGGGCUGUGGGGUAGCUUGGUCCAUCCUCUCUGGCUUGGGACCAGAUGACCCCGGUUCAAAUCCGGGCAGCCCCA